ACGAACGCUGGCGGCGUGCUUAACACCUGCAAGUCGCACGGAAAGGCCCUGCUUUUGUGGGGUGCUCGAGUGGCGAACGGGUGAGUAACACGUGAGUAACCUGCCCUUGACUUUGGGAUAACUUCAGGAAACUGGGGCUAAUACCGGAUAGGAGCUCCUGCUGCAUGGUGGGGGUUGGAAAGUUUCGGCGGUUGGGGAUGGACUCGCGGCUUAUCAGCUUGUUGGUGGGGUAGUGGCUUACCAAGGCUUUGACGGGUAGCCGGCCUGAGAGGGUGACCGGCCACAUUGGGACUGAGAUACGGCCCAGACUCCUACGGGAGGCAGCAGUGGGGAAUAUUGCACAAUGGGCGGAAGCCUGAUGCAGCAACGCCGCGUGCGGGAUGACGGCCUUCGGGUUGUAAACCGCCUUCGCCUGUGACGAAGCGUGAGUGACGGUAAUGGGUAAAGAAGCACCGGCUAACUACGUG
rnacentral:rRNA from 1 species